GCAAAAUCUUCUCAAGUCUAUUGGCUAGAAUCUUAGAGAGGAUUUUAAAAUCUACAUUCAGUAAAGAGAUAGGUCUAUAGGAUGCACAUUCUGAUAAAUCUUUUCCUUUUUUUGGGAAUCAAUGAAAUUAAUGCCUCAUAAAAAGUUUUUGGAAGAUCCCCAGAGGAUAUAGAAUCAGUAAAUGUUUGAUGAAGAUGGAGUAUAAGCAUUUUGUGCAAAAAUCUCAGGAGGAAAACCUUCGACUAUACGAAUCUCUGUUGAUUUAAAAAUUAUCUUUCGCUUUCUUCUGGCCUCUUGAAGUAUGGCUUCUUUAGUUGUAUAAUAAUGCAAACAAAGAACGAUUGGUCGAGGAAGCAAUUCAGAUGAACGACGAAAUGAAACUCUAUGGAUGCUAUCGAGUAAAGGGCUAGCUUCCAGGAUCUCACUAAAAAAUUGCUCUGUUUCAGGAAAAGUCUUGCCGCUUCUCAGUUCAAUACCAGAUCGACUUCUGGCCAUCGUAAUUAAAUCGUAAAACCUUCAGCAGAAGUAAUAAAUCAGCAUACUUAAAAGGAAUCUGUCAGUGGGAUGUAAAAUAUAAAAAAAAGUGGAGCUGCUAUAAAAUGCGUCUUACUCCAUGCGCUGCAAAAUGGCAGACCCAAAUCACAUCAUCUAAUUCACCGAUGACACGACCAUGGUGGGUCUCAUCAGCAAGAACAACGAGUCAGCUUACAGAGAGGAGGUGCAGCGGCUAACGGACUGGUACAGAGCUAACAACCUGUCUCUUAAUGUGAACAAAACAAAAGAGAUGGUUGUUGACUUUAGGAGGGCACAGAGCGACCACUCCCCACUGAACAUUGAUGGCUCCUCGGUAGAGAUCAUUAAGAGCACCAAAUUUCUUGGUGAAUCUCACCUGGUCCCUCAACACCAGCUCCAUAGCAAAGAAAGCCCAGCAGUGUCUCUACUUUCUGCGAAGGCUGAGGAAAGUCCAGACCCUGCAGCGGAUAGUGAAGUCAGCUGAGAAGAUCAUCAGGGUCUUCCUUCCCGCCAUUGCAGACAUUUACACUACACGCUGCAUUCGCAAAGAAAACAGCAUUAUGAAGGACCCCAUGCACUGCUCAUACAAUCUCUUUUCCCUCCUGCCAUCUGGGAAAAGGCUCCGAAGCAUUCGGGCUGUCAUGACCAGACUAUGUUCCCCCAAGCUAUCAGACUCCUCAAUACCCAGGGGCUGGACUGACACCUUGCCCUAUUGUCCUGUUUAUUAUUUAUUGUAAUGCCUGCACUGUUUUUCUGCAGUCCUGUGUAGGUCUGUGGUCUAGUGUAGCUUUCUCUGCAUUUUUUUUUUACGUAGUUCAGUCUAGUUUUUGUACUGUGUCAUGUAACACCAUGGUCCUGAAAAAUGUUGUCUCAUUUUUACUAUGUAC